AUGGACAUUUUCUGGCCGUGGCUAAUUAAGGAUUCAUCCUCUCCCCGCGGUGUUUCCAUGCCUGGCACAGCUGCUGCUCCCCAGCAGCCCUCCGAGGUUUGCUCCUGUCACAGCAGCCCCGGCUCUGUCACCAGAGCUGCUGCAGCCUGGAGAGCCACGGAGCGAUGGGCGGCCUCCAGGGAAUGGAACGAGAGCAGGGAAAUAAACCAAAUAUCGGUGUCUUUUAUACACCUGCAGAAAAGAGCUGGGGAAUGUCCAAGGUUCAAGGUGAGGACCCAGAGGGUUACAGGAUUUUCCUUCUCUGUGAGGCUGGGGAGGGGCUGGGAUGGAAUUCCCAGAGCAGCCGUGGCUGGCUCUGGAUCCCUGAAGUGCCCCAGGCCAGGCUGGACGGGGUUUGGAGAUGUGGCAGGGGCUUGGGGAUGUCCCUGGAUGAGCUCUGAGGUCCCUCCAUCCCAAACCCACUCUGGAAUCCUGUGACGGAGGCUCCCAGAUCCCAAACCCCCAGGGCUCAGCCCUUCCAUGAGAGAAUUCCUGCUGCUGUGAGGGACAGUCCCCUCUCAAACCAUUCCGAGCUCCCUGCUCUGGCCAUUUCCCACCCACAUUUCCUCCCCUGACUCCCAAACCCCUCCAGAAACCUUCGCUCAGUCCUUGCUGCUGCCAUUAAAAACCACUUUUGUUUGGGAGAAAACAAACCCUGCUCAGAACAAACCCUGCCCUGGAGGUUUUAAUUGCAGGGAAUCUGCUGCCUUGCUAUUUUUACCUGGAUUGGAGACGCAUCAAAGCCGAUUUUGGAGGAGAGGAGGAACUCAGCCUUUAAACUGACAAUGGUGAGCGAGCAGCUCCCCCAGCCCCGAGCUUUGGUGCUCGUUAGCAGCGGCUCCUGAUGAGGCUGCUCUUGUUUUCCAGGCUGCUUUUGAUCCCGGACUCAUUAAAACCCGAUCCUGCUGUGGGAUUGUUCCCCUCUCCCCAAAGCUGUGGGCUGGGGGUGCUGUCCCCGAGCCCCACAAACAGGAGCUGGUCCUGGUGGGAGCCCAGAGCCCAGCCCGGCUCCCUCCCGACCCCAACCAGCCCAGGGCCACCCCCACAACACCACAAAUUAACUAAUGAGGGCUUGAUUACCUCGCCAGAGCGCGGCUUUGGGAGAUUUGGAGCGGGGUUUUCAGCUGGCCGUGGGGAGAGGUCUCUGCUCCUGCCCCAGGGCCGCCUGCAGGCUCCUCCUGGGGGCUCCAAACUGGGAUUUCAUCAAGGGAAAAUCCCAGUGUUUGCUUGGAUGUGGGGACAAUUAAACCAAACCUGCAGGGAAGCUGAUCAUUAAACCAUCAAAUCCAGCCUGGGAACCUCUCCUCGCUCUCCCCAAAACAUCCUCGGGGGGUUUCAAAGGAACGCCGAGAUCCC
rnacentral:lncRNA from 1 species